UACGAGGGGGGCAAGUGUUGUUCGGAAUUACUGGGCGUAAAGCGCGUGUAGGCAGCUUCGCAAGUCGGGUGUGAAAGCCCUGGGCUCAACCUAGGAAGUGCACUCGAAACUGCGGAGCUUGAGUCUCGGAGAGGGUCGCGGAAUUCUCGGUGUAGAGGUGAAAUUCGUAGAUAUCGAGAGGAACACCGGUGGCGAAGGCGGCGACCUGGACGAUGACUGACGCUGAGACGCGAAAGCGUGGGGAGCAAACAGG
rnacentral:rRNA from 1 species